GCGCAACAGUAACCGUUUUGCUGUUGGGUUUCUCUCCCUCGCCUGGGCUGCUGCGGCUGGGUGCGCUGCACAAAGGAGGGAGGCUGCGUGGGGCGCAGGCAGGUGGGGGCGGAAGCGCUGCGGCCGCGUUGCCCUGGCAGCAGGGAGGUCUGCGGGCGGGACGAGCCCCCGCGGUUCCUCCUCCGCCGCUCAUCGCCGCCGCGCUGCUGACCGCGGGGCUCGGGGGCGCUUGUGCGGCUGCUGACGGAGCAAGUGGCCUCGGCGCGGUACCGGCCUCGCUCUCCGCACAGCAGUAGAUAGCGAGGCGUAAGCACUACCCACAUUUCGUACGUCGUUUGGAGGAGGACGAGAAUCAAGCGGCAGGGAAGCGGCCUCGUCCUCAUCACCAUCCCACACCCCACAAAGUUUUGAGCCUCUGGCGGAGAUCGGCAUCGCUGAGCGAGGAAACGGCAGAAGGGUGUUUGGAAUCUGCACCCUUCCUGACUACUGCUCCAGGUUGUCUGUGCCCCAGGUGUUGGAGAACUGCCCUUGGAACAGAGGACUCUCCUGUACCAAGCUCAGCUGCCCAGAGGGGCUGUCAGUUUUUGUGUGAAGCCACCUUCUUUCCCAUAAGCUAGCUGUUGGUUGUGAACAGAGGUGCUAGCUGUCAGCUCCACGUCCACACAGUCAGGUCAGGGUUGUAGCUGGAGCAGACAAAGAUGACAUUCCUAACCUUUGUUGGGAAGAUAGGCGUUGGCCUGGUAUGUGUGGCUGUCUUAUGGGAACACAUAGUACCCUACUACAUCCAGGCAAAUAAAUUAGCCUGUGACUUAGAGCUGAUUAAUGCUACCAUGAACACCAUAGAGGCCCUUAACAAGCAGCUGCAAGCCCUUUCCAAAAUGGCUGAUCAGAACCGCAGGGCACUGAACCUGCUGUUAGAGACUGCAGGCACCAGCCCCCAGCACCCAGCUAGAGAGGACAGGCCAGGUGGUGAGAAACGCAUGUGAAAAACUCCCAGAGUCAGGAAUGAACCUUGGAGCAUGCUAAGCUGGCUUGGAUUUGGUGUUCCUGCCUGGGUCUGAGGUUGAAUGCGAUAGGCACUGGCAGCUGUUGCCAUUGUAGUUGCUGUAGGUCUGGCAAUAGCCUGUGUAAAAUCAGCUCUAAUGGAAACUGUUAGCAUAAAGGUGAUUCAGCUCCCUGGUUAUCAGAGAAUCACAGAAUGGGUUAGGUUGGAAGGGAGCUCAAAGCUCAGCCAGUUCCAACCCCCUGCCAUAGGCAGGGACACCUCCUGCUAGAACAGGUUGCUCAAGGUUUCAUCCUACCUGGCCUUGAACACCUUCAGGGAGGUUGUGGAGCACAGAAGCUCCCUGGGCAGCCUCUACCAGUGUCUCACCACCCUCACUGUAGACAACUUCUCCCUAACAUCUAGUUUAAAUCUCCCCUCUGCCACUUCAAACCCAUUCCUCCUCCUCCUGUCAUUCCCACACCUUGUCAAUAGUCCCUCCCCAGCCUUCCUGCAGCCACCUUCACAUCCUGCAAGGCCACUCCAAGGUCUCCUCCAAGCCUUCUCUUCUCCAGGCUGCACAGCCCCAACUCUCUCAGCCUGUGCUCAGAGCAGAGCUGCUGCAGCCCUCUCAGCAUCUUGGUGGCCUCCUCUGCACUGGCUCCAACACUUCCAUGUGCUGCUUGUGCUGGGGGCUCCAGAACUGCACCCAGGACUGCAGAUGGGAGUUAGACCCCUUUAGAGGAGGAGGAUAGCCCAACCAAUGUACCUUGUACUGAGACCUUAAUUUGAGAUCAAAUUUAAAUCCCUGAGAGUACUGAGGUGUUCAAGGCCAGGCUGGAUGAGGCCCUGAGCAACCUGUUCUAGUGGGAGGUGUCCCUGCCUAUGGCAGGGGGUUGGAACUGGAUGAGCUUUGAGCUCCCUUCCAACCUAACCAGUUCUAUGAUUCUAUGAUCCUAUGACUGUGGUGAGGCCAUUUGCAAUGGGUUUCUAGCUCAAAAAUUUGCAAGCAGAAGAGUGUUGGAGUCUCUGAUUGGAGAGGUGAAGGUUCCAGGGACAGGCCAUAGCAUGGCAAUGAUGGAUAAGUUAAUGCAAUUUCACUGGAGCAUCAAAAGCUUCAUGUCUGGAAGCCCAGUUUGCAUUUUCCCCUUGCUGCUAUCUUCCCCCUGCAGCUGUUCUGGCUGCUGCUUUGCCACUGCUUGACCCCAUCCCCAGCUCCUUUAAGGUUAUUCUCUUCUGUACAAGUUUGUUCUUACACAUAAAAAAAUACAAUUUCCUUUUCAGCUUUCCAAAA